GCAUAAGUAAAGGUUAGUCAACAUAUCAAAAUAAUAUAAUCAAACUCGAAAAAGGAAAGGACUUAAGAAUGUUGGGACUCCUAUUUAUGAAGACUCCAAGUAUUGUGAUGAUCCUAAUUGUUGUUGGCCUAAUAUUUUAGGCCAAUAACGAGUUCCAAAGUAGAAAUUUCAGCUCUCCGGUUGUACAUGAAACAUAAGAAAAAUAAAGAGAUAAAAGAUUAGUGUCUUAAUUCUAGAUGAGUUAAAUAAAAAAUGAGUAUUAUUAUUCUAAGGAACAAGAGAGGAUACUGUAGAUUGUUUCGGUAUGUACUAUGUAGUAGUGAUGUUAUAUGCAUAAGAAUCUAAAGUACAUACACAAAAUAAAAGGGCUUUACAUUAUUCUGGGUAAACAAUUCUGUUUUCUAAAAAAAUUGAACUUGGUAUUUUUAGAAUUCUUAAGAGCAAGUAAAUUGAGAGACAUAUGAAAGGUUUAAGUAAAUAUUCAAUUCGUCAUUAUAGGGGAUAAAUAUUCCGAUGACUGCACUACUUGAUCAAACAUAAGAAGUUAAAGUCGUUGAGCCAACACGUUAGUGGCGGACUAAGUUAACUAAACACACUUAGCUUGCAUUAAGUUGACAAGUAAAUUCUUACCUAAUGUCCUCAACUUUUCAUGAAACAUGGGCAGGUUUGUUAUGUGUCGACCUUCUCAAGAGAAGAAAUGCAGUUGUUUAAUCCAAUAUAGUAAAAAAUUAUCAUAGGAUUCUUCUAAUCACUUAGUUGAAAACGACAAGACCAUCUUAAACAGGAAGUAGAAUAUGGAUCUAACUUAAGUUAUCACACCAUGACAUCAAUCAUAUUAAACAGUUAAGGGUAAAUUUCCUUGUAUUAGUAGCAAGGACUCAACACAAGCAAAUGUGAGGGAGCUUUAAGCAAGACAAGACGCAAUGGAAGGCGAAAAAUAUGAAUCUAAACUUUAGAAGCGCUUUGAUCAUACUUGUAAUCAAGAGUUAAUUCUAGCUUCACAACCAACAAGUGAAGCUACAAUGAGUUGUGAUGCUAAACUCAAGGAAACCUGUAACUUAAAAAUAAGGUUUCCAACAGAGAGCUUAUAUGUAAAAUAGAAAGAAAAAUAAUUUAUCAUGUUUAGGUUUAAUUAAUUUUUAUGAACUAAGUUACAUCAUUCUCAAUUAAUAUAGAAUUGUGAUGGAGUCUAGAAUAAAUCGACUGAUUUUCUAUCGCUUAACAGGUAAGGGAAACAAAGGGAGAAAAAAAAGAUUUGAAGAACUAACAGAUUCUACGUCUAACCAUACAAACAAAUUGUAUAACAAAGAGUUGGAAAAAAAGAAGAAAUAAAUCAAAGUGAGACAGGACAUAUCUAGAUGAUAGUCUUACAAUGAGAAAAAUUAGGAUCAAAGAUAUGGAAGCACAUGACUGUCGAACAUAAGCAAAGGUGGUUUAUAAAUUUGGCUCGAGAAAGGUACACCUUAAAACUAACAGAUUCAUGAAUCAAUUUGACAGGAUAAAAUGCAUUAGUGAGAGAGUCUAAGUCCAGAUACUAUCAAUAUAUGCAAGAACGUAUACAUGCCAGACUUCGACUACUAUAAAUGUAUGAAAUUCUCAAUAAACCUCCAAACAAAACGGAAGCAAAAAGAACCAUAUGAGUUAAAACAACCAAGUUUCGCAUAAUUAAAUCAGCCACAUACAGAACAUUUCAAAGAAAAGACAAGAAAAUAAAUAGACUAAUCGAAACAACACAAAACAAACAAAGAGAUUACCUUAUUUGGAGCAACAAACAAGAGCUUUGACGUCAAGAUUCAACUUAGAACUUCCUUCAACUUGAAUUCAACACUUAAACAGACUCGCUGGAUUAUUGUUGGAUCUUUUUUUUAAUCGAUUCUUGGAUUUUCUCACUGAUUUCCCCUGUUUUAUGGAUUGUUUUUGGACGUUAGUGGAUGAUUUCCU
rnacentral:lncRNA from 1 species